GAUGAACGCUGGCGGCGUGCCUAAUACAUGCAAGUCGAGCGAACAGACGAGGAGCUUGCUCCUCUGACGUUAGCGGCGGACGGGUGAGUAACACGUGGAUAACCUACCUAUAAGACUGGGAUAACUUCGGGAAACCGGAGCUAAUACCGGAUAAUAUAUUGAACCGCAUGGUUCAAUAGUGAAAGACGGUUUUGCUGUCACUUAUAGAUGGAUCCGCGCCGCAUUAGCUAGUUGGUAAGGUAACGGCUUACCAAGGCAACGAUGCGUAGCCGACCUGAGAGGGUGAUCGGCCACACUGGAACUGAGACACGGUCCAGACUCCUACGGGAGGCAGCAGUAGGGAAUCUUCCGCAAUGGGCGAAAGCCUGACGGAGCAACGCCGCGUGAGUGAUGAAGGUCUUCGGAUCGUAAAACUCUGUUAUUAGGGAAGAACAAAUGUGUAAGUAACUAUGCACGUAUUGACGGUAACUAAUCAGAAAGCCACGGAUAACUACGUG
rnacentral:rRNA from 1 species